AGGGUCCGGGUUGGAUCAGCGGCUCCGGGGCGGACUCCAUGUCCGAUGCAGGCGUCCGCAUUGGAGAAUGCAAUCAGGAGUUCCGCCGAUAAUCCAGGAGAUGAGGUGACAGUACCUAAACUUGGCACUACCUUUGAUUCUCUGGAAGAGGCCUAUGACUUUUACAAUCUCUACUCGUGGGAGAAGGGAUUUGGUAUAAGAUACGGAAAGAGCCGGUUAAAUAUCCGGAGGACAAAGUGCAUGCAGGAAAUUGUUUGUGGUUGCGCGGGGAAGCCUGUUUUAGAGAAUACACGAUCAUGCCGAUGCAACUGUCCAGCGCUGAUCAGAUUGCUGAGAUUGGAAGACAACGGAUGGUACAUAGCGGAGCACAGAGAGAAGCACAACCAUUCGCUGUCUCCAAACUGUGGGGAGACCAUACACUGGCCUUCGCACAAGUGCAUAGAUGCUUACAGCAAGGAUUUGAUAAAGCAGUUGAAGCAGAACAUUUUUAACCUAAGCAAAAUUUACAGCAUAAUUGGUAGUUUUUUUGGUACGAUGGAGGAGGUCCCCUUCACGAAGCGAUCAUUGAAGACAUUAUGCGGGAAGUUAGGACCUGAACAGGCAGAUGGUGAUGUGAGAAAGACAAUGGAAGUCUUCAAGGAGUUGGGUGCAAACGAUCCACACUUCACGUACCGAGUGCAGACAGACGGGGAAGGGCGGAUAAAGGGCCUGAUGUGGACCAAUGGCAGCAGCCGGUUGCAGUACAGUUUUUUCGGGGAUGCGGUUACGUUCAAUACGACCUACAGGAGCAGUUUGUACGAUAUGAUGUUCGGUUUGUUUGUGGGUGUAAACAACCAUUUCCAGAGUGUGCUCCUGGCCGGGGUGCUGAUCAGAGAUGAGACUGUCGAAAGCUUGGAGUGGGUUUUUUCAGAGUUCUUACAUAUGAUGGGUGGGGGCUGCUCCGAAAACAAUACUAACAGGUAA
rnacentral:rRNA from 1 species